rnacentral:rRNA from 1 species
ACGAACGCUGGCGGCGUGCCUAAUACAUGCAAGUAGAACGCUGAAGAGAGGAGCUUGCUCUUCUUGGAUGAGUUGCGAACGGGUGAGUAACGCGUAGGUAACCUGCCUUGUAGCGGGGGAUAACUAUUGGAAACGAUAGCUAAUACCGCAUAACAAUGGAUGACACAUGUCAUUUAUUUGAAAGGGGCAAUUGCUCCACUACAAGAUGGACCUGCGUUGUAUUAGCUAGUAGGUGAGGUAACGGCUCACCUAGGCGACGAUACAUAGCCGACCUGAGAGGGUGAUCGGCCACACUGGGACUGAGACACGGCCCAGACUCCUACGGGAGGCAGCAGUAGGGAAUCUUCGGCAAUAGGGGCAACCCUGACCGAGCAACGCCGCGUGAGUGAAGAAGGUUUUCGGAUCGUAAAGCUCUGUUGUAAGUCAAGAACGAGUGUGAGAGUGGAAAGUUCACACUGUGACGGUAGCUUACCAGAAAGGGACGGCUAACUACGUG